CUCAACAGAAGGAAGGCACUAGAAUUAAGGGGGGUCAGGAAAAAAAUUCUUGUAGAAGGACUUGAAGUAAUCCAGGAGAUAAGGAGGAAAAGCAUUUCAAGUGUUGGGGACAGCUCAGAUUUGUUUUGUUUAGGAAGUACAAGGAGGAAAACAGAGUGAAAUAGAAGGAAGGCCCAGGUGAACUAGCCUUCUCACUUAAACAUAGUAAUCAAUUAAUUAAUUGAUGUGUAUUUAUUUAGUAUCUACCAUCUUCCAGGUCCUGUCCUAAGUCUGGGUAUAUAUACAAAGACAAAAAUGAAACAGUACCUGUCCACAAGAAUCUCGCAUCCUAUGGGACGAUCUGAGGAUCCAAAGAGAUAAUGGCAGACCUGAUUGCUGAGUUCUGGUGAUUGCUGAGAUGAGUCUUGAAAUCACGCUUGAUGACGUCUAAAACUCUAUAAGAGGAGAGAACACAGCUGGGAGAUUGAGACUUGUUGGAGCCAGCAACAGCCACGACAGCUACAGCCAAAGCUGAAGACAAAGCUGAAGCCAAAGGAGCUGAAGAAGCAGGAGCUGCUGGUAGCAAGGAUGACCCAUGUGUGGACUGGGGAGUGCUGA